ensembl:lncRNA
GGGAGCAGUUCUUGGUACUGUGAGUUUUUACAGACUAACCGAUGCUCUUUGUAAGGGCAGGCGCACUGAUGGAAGUUGUCCAUUAGAGGUCACUGAAGCUCCGCCAGUGAAGAAGUCUGAGCCCUGUCCUGCUGGGUUGGCUAUCGCUGCUUGCUUUUUUCUGCUGAGCAAAGGCCUCUUGCCCAAACUUCUCUUUCAAAAGCAGCCUCUUACAGUAUAAACUAGUGUCUUCAACUUCUUAAGCUGCUAACAAACUGACACUGCUGAACUUUCAGAAGCGCAUGAGCAUUGACCUCUAAUAGCGAACGACAGAGCCAAAAGGGACCUGAACUCUCACCUGACCUGAACUAUGAGACCUUUAUGAAC